AGGACUCUCCCCCGCCCAGCCGCCCCUACACAAGGACUCGCCGAACACACCUUGAAUCCCGCGCCAGAGCGCAGCCCGGAACUGCAGCUCGGCGGCGCGGGCCCAGGUCGGGGGUCGCGCGUCUCCAGUCGGUGACUCAGGGCCGCUUGGUCCGGGGGACUGAGCAGCUAGGCGCGAGCGAAAACAAACAGCUGGGGCUGCGAGCGCCCCCGCCCCGGCCCCGAGAGCACGCCGGCCCCGUCCCCCACCCGGGGCGCCCGUCUGCCCACCAUGAGAAAGAUCCGCGCCAAUGCCAUCGCCAUCCUGACCGUAGCCUGGAUCCUGGGCACUUUCUACUACUUAUGGCAGGACAACCGAGCCCACGCAGCAUCCUCCGGCGGCCGGGGCGCGCAGAGGGCCGGCGGGAGGCCGGAGCAGCUCCGCGAGGACCGCACCAUCCCGCUCAUUGUGACAGGAACUCCCUCGAAAGGCUUUGAUGAGAAGGCCUACCUGUCGGCCAAGCAGCUGAAGGCCGGAGAGGACCCCUACAGGCAGCACGCCUUCAACCAGCUGGAGAGUGACAAGCUGAGCCCAGACCGGC
rnacentral:sRNA from 1 species